ACGGAAGGCAGCAGUGGGGAAUAUUGCACAAUGGGCGAAAGCCUGAUGCAGCGACGCCGCGUGAGUGAUGAAGUAUUUCGGUAUGUAAAGCUCUAUCAGCAGGGAAGAUAAUGACGGUACCUGACUAAGAAGCACCGGCUAAAUACGUGCCAGCAGCCGCGGUAAUCCGUAUGGUGCAAGCGUUAUCCGGAUUUACUGGGUGUAAAGGGAGCGCAGGCGGUACGGCAAGUCUGAUGUGAAAGCCCGGGGCUCAACCCCGGUACUGCAUUGGAAACUGUCGAACUAGAGUGUCGGAGGGGUAAGUGGAAUUCCUAGUGUAGCGGUGAAAUGCGUAGAUAUUAGGAGGAACACCAGUGGCGAAGGCGACUUACUGGACGAUAACUGACGCUGAGGCUCGAAAGCGUGGGGAGCAAACAGGAUUAGAUACCCUGGUA
rnacentral:rRNA from 1 species